CCUGGCGGCCGUAGCGCGGUGGUCCCACCUGACCCCAUGCCGAACUCAGAAGUGAAACGCCGUAGCGCCGAGGACAGUGCGUCGGCUCCCCACGCGGGAGGCGGGACCUGCCGGGG
rnacentral:rRNA from 1 species